rnacentral:rRNA from 1 species
CGUGAGGAACCUACCCCGGACUCAGGGAUAACGGCUGGAAACGGCUGCUAAUACCUGAUGCCGUCGGAGCAUCACAUGGUGCACUGACGAAAGAAUCUCGGUUCGGGAGGGCCUCGCGGCCUAUCAGCUUGUUGGUGGGGUAACGGCCUACCAAGGCAUCGACGGGUAGCUGGUCUGAGAGGAUGAUCAGCCACACUGGGACUGAGACACGGCCCAG